CUGCUGCCUCCCGUAGGAGUCUGGUCCGUGUCUCAGUACCAGUGUGGGGGGACCUUCCUCUCAGAACCCCUACGCAUCGUCGGUUAGGUGGGCCGUUACCCCGCCUACUGCCUAAUGCGCCGCAUGCCCAUCCCUGUCCGGCCGAAGCCUUUCCUGCCUCCGGGAUGCCCCGGUGGCAUGUACGCGGGUUUACGCCCGCCUUUCGGCGGGUUGUCCCCCUGACAGGGGCAGGUUGCAUACGUGUUACUCACCCGUGCGCCGUCGCCGGNGGAGAAA
rnacentral:rRNA from 1 species